rnacentral:rRNA from 5 species
GGGUUGUGAGGUUAAGCGACUAAGCGUACACGGUGGAUGCCCUGGCAGUCAGAGGCGAUGAAGGGCGUGCUAAUCUGCGAUAAGCGCCGGUAAGGUGAUAUGAACCGUUAUAACCGGCGAUACCCGAAUGGGGAAACCCAGUGUGAUUCGUCACACUAUCAUUAACUGAAUCCAUAGGUUAAUGAGGCGAACCGGGGGAACUGAAACAUCUAAGUACCCCGAGGAAAAGAAAUCAACCGAGAUUCCCCCAGUAGCGGCGAGCGAACGGGGAGGAGCCCAGAGCCUGAAUCAGCAUGUGUGUUAGUGGAAGCGUCUGGAAAGGCGCGCGAUACAGGGUGACAGCCCCGUACACAAAAGCGCAUGUGCUGUGAGCUCGAUGAGUAGGGCGGGACACGUGGUAUCCUGUCUGAAUAUGGGGGGACCAUCCUCCAAGGCUAAAUACUCCUGACUGACCGAUAGUGAACCAGUACCGUGAGGGAAAGGCGAAAAGAACCCCGGCGAGGGGAGUGAAAAAGAACCUGAAACCGUGUACGUACAAGCAGUGGGAGCACAGGUUUACCUGUGUGACUGCGUACCUUUUGUAUAAUGGGUCAGCGACUUAUAUUCUGUAGCAAGGUUAACCGAAUAGGGGAGCCGGAGGGAAACCGAGUCUUAAUUGGGCGUUAAGUUGCAGGGUAUAGACCCGAAACCCGGUGAUCUAGCCAUGGGCAGGUUGAAGGUUGGGUAACACUAACUGGAGGACCGAACCGACUAAUGUUGAAAAAUUAGCGGAUGACCUGUGGCUGGGGGUGAAAGGCCAAUCAAACCGGGAGAUAGCUGGUUCUCCCCGAAAGCUAUUUAGGUAGCGCCUCGUGAAUUCAUCUCCGGGGGUAGAGCACUGUUUCGGCUAGGGGGCCAUCCCGGCUUACCAACCCGAUGCAAACUGCGAAUACCGGAGAAUGUUAUCACGGGAGACACACGGCGGGUGCUAACGUCCGUCGUGAAGAGGGAAACAACCCAGACCGCCAGCUAAGGUCCCAAAGUCAUGGUUAAGUGGGAAACGAUGUGGGAAGGCCCAGACAGCCAGGAUGUUGGCUUAGAAGCAGCCAUCAUUUAAAGAAAGCGUAAUAGCUCACUGGUCGAGUCGGCCUGCGCGGAAGAUGUAACGGGGCUAAACCAUGCACCGAAGCUGCGGCAGCGAACGUAUCACCCAAGACAACUUUACGGAGUUGACGAUUGACGGAGCGAAGCGACGUCAAAGCGUUCAUUAAAGUCGAGUUGGCUUAGGGAUACGUUCGUUGGGUAGGGGAGCGUUCUGUAAGCCUGUGAAGGUGUGUCGUGAGGCAUGCUGGAGGUAUCAGAAGUGCGAAUGCUGACAUAAGUAACGAUAAAGCGGGUGAAAAGCCCGCUCGCCGGAAGACCAAGGGUUCCUGUCCAACGUUAAUCGGGGCAGGGUGAGUCGACCCCUAAGGCGAGGCCGAAAGGCGUAGUCGAUGGGAAACGGGUUAAUAUUCCCGUACUUGGUGUUACUGCGAAGGGGGGACGGAGAAGGCUAUGUUGGCCGGGCGACGGUUGUCCCGGUUUAAGCGUGUAGGUGUGUGUUCCAGGUAAAUCCGGUUCACUUUAACACUGAGGCGUGACGACGAGGCACUACGGUGCUGAAGCAACAAAUGCCCUGCUUCCAGGAAAAGCCUCUAAGCAUCAGGUAACACGAAAUCGUACCCCAAACCGACACAGGUGGUCAGGUAGAGAAUACCAAGGCGCUUGAGAGAACUCGGGUGAAGGAACUAGGCAAAAUGGUGCCGUAACUUCGGGAGAAGGCACGCUGACACGUAGGUGAAGUGAUUUACUCAUGGAGCUGAAGUCAGUCGAAGAUACCAGCUGGCUGCAACUGUUUAUUAAAAACACAGCACUGUGCAAACACGAAAGUGGACGUAUACGGUGUGACGCCUGCCCGGUGCCGGAAGGUUAAUUGAUGGGGUCAGCGCAAGCGAAGCUCCUGAUCGAAGCCCCGGUAAACGGCGGCCGUAACUAUAACGGUCCUAAGGUAGCGAAAUUCCUUGUCGGGUAAGUUCCGACCUGCACGAAUGGCGUAAUGAUGGCCAGGCUGUCUCCACCCGAGACUCAGUGAAAUUGAACUCGCUGUGAAGAUGCAGUGUACCCGCGGCAAGACGGAAAGACCCCGUGAACCUUUACUAUAGCUUGACACUGAACAUUGAGCCUUGAUGUGUAGGAUAGGUGGGAGGCUUUGAAGUGUGGACGCCAGUCUGCAUGGAGCCGACCUUGAAAUACCACCCUUUAAUGUUUGAUGUUCUAACGUGGACCCGUAAUCCGGGUUGCGGACAGUGUCUGGUGGGUAGUUUGACUGGGGCGGUCUCCUCCUAAAGAGUAACGGAGGAGCACGAAGGUUGGCUAAUCCUGGUCGGACAUCAGGAGGUUAGUGCAAUGGCAUAAGCCAGCUUGACUGCGAGCGUGACGGCGCGAGCAGGUGCGAAAGCAGGUCAUAGUGAUCCGGUGGUUCUGAAUGGAAGGGCCAUCGCUCAACGGAUAAAAGGUACUCCGGGGAUAACAGGCUGAUACCGCCCAAGAGUUCAUAUCGACGGCGGUGUUUGGCACCUCGAUGUCGGCUCAUCACAUCCUGGGGCUGAAGUAGGUCCCAAGGGUAUGGCUGUUCGCCAUUUAAAGUGGUACGCGAGCUGGGUUUAGAACGUCGUGAGACAGUUCGGUCCCUAUCUGCCGUGGGCGCUGGAGAACUGAGGGGGGCUGCUCCUAGUACGAGAGGACCGGAGUGGACGCAUCACUGGUGUUCGGGUUGUCAUGCCAAUGGCACUGCCCGGUAGCUAAAUGCGGAAGAGAUAAGUGCUGAAAGCAUCUAAGCACGAAACUUGCCCCGAGAUGAGUUCUCCCUGAGACUUAGAGUCUCCUGAAGGAACGUUGAAGACGACGACGUUGAUAGGCCGGGUGUGUAAGCGCAGCGAUGCGUUGAGCUAACCGGUACUAAUGAACCGUGAGGCUUAACCUUACAACGCCGAAG